rnacentral:tRNA from 1 species
GGAGUAAUAGUUUUAAUGGUUAAAAUACUAGGUUGUCACUCUAGAAGAUAUAGGUUCGAAUCCUGUUUAUUCCG